AACAGAAAAGAAUUAUGAAAUCAAAUUGAUAUAAAUGUUUGCAUACUUCAUUGGCAGUUUUUCAGUGGGGAUUUGCUUGUAGAGAUAUAUACAAAGCAGUUUCAGCUUGGAGUGAUAGUGUCUAUA